UUUGCCGAAGGCGAGUGUGCUUUAUUGAGCCAAGUGACAGGUGAUGCAUGGCCGUCGUCAGCUCGUGUCGUGAGAUGUUUGGUUAAGUCCAUCAACGAGCGCAACCCUUAUAGUCUGUUGUAUUUCUCAGGCUAGACUGCCCUGGUAACAGGGAGGAAGGAGGGGAUGAUGUCAGGUCAGUAUUUCCCUUACAUCUGGGGCUACAAACACGCUACAAUGGCCGGUACAAAGGGCUGCCAAGCUGCAAAGCGGAGCAAAUCCCAUCAAAGCCGGUCUCAGUUCGGAUUGGAGGCUGAAACUCGCCUCCAUGAAGCUGGAAUCGCUAGUAACGGUAGGUCAGCUAUACUACCGUGAAUACGUUCCCGGGUCUUGUCACCACCGAUUGUACACNCCGA
rnacentral:rRNA from 1 species